CCUACGGGAGGCAGCAGUAAGGAAUAUUGGUCAAUGGAGGCAACUCUGAACCAGCCAUGCCGCGUGCAGGAAGAAGGCCCUAUGGGUCGUAAACUGCUUUUGUACCAGAGAAAACCCGAGUACGUGUACUCGGUUGAUAGUAUGGUAAGAAUAAGCAUCGGCUAACUUCGUGCCAGCAGCCGCGGUAAGACGAAGGAUGCAAGCGUUAUCCGGAUUCAUUGGGUUUAAAGGGUGCGUAGGCGGACUGAUAAGUCAGUGGUGAAAUCUCUCAGCUUAACUGAGAAACUGCCAUUGAUACUGUUAGUCUAGAGUAUAGAUGACGUUGGCGGAAUAUGACAUGUAGUGGUGAAAUACUUAGAUAUGUCAUAGAACACCGAUUGCGAAGGCAGCUAACGAAACUAUAACUGACGCUGAGGCACGAAAGUGCGGGGAUCAAACAGGAUUAGAUACCCUGGUAGUCCGCACCGUAAACGAUGAUUACUCGUUGUUGGCAAUAUGACCGUCAGCGACCAAGCGAAAGCGAUAAGUAAUCCACCUGGGGAGUACGCCGGCAACGGUGAAACUCAAAUGAAUUGACGGCUGAGGACGNGCGAGGCGACACGAGGGGAGGAGG
rnacentral:rRNA from 1 species